GCUAGGUGAUUGAAAGAGGCAGAGAGUUCGGCACUCCUGGAAGCAGCAAAGCACUCAUUCUGGUGUCAGGAAGAGAAAUCGUGGAAAAGCAAUCCCCAUAGCACGUUGCUGCCACCACCGUGUUUCACAAGGACGAGUGCAAGUUUUCUGCCACACAUUGUGUUUUAC